rnacentral:rRNA from 1 species
GACGAACGCUGGCGGCAUGCCUAAUACAUGCAAGUCGAACGCUGAAGCACUCUGCUUGCAGAGUGCGGAUGAGUGGCGAACGGGUGAGUAACACGUGGGAAAUCUGCCUAUAAGAGGGGGAUAACAUUCGGAAACGGAUGCUAAUACCGCAUAUAUUCUUGGACCGCCUGGUCCUUGAAAGAAAGACGGCUUUGCUGUCGCUUAUAGAUGAUCCCGCGGCGUAUUAGUUAGUUGGUGGGGUAAAGGCCUACCAAGACAAUGAUACGUAGCCGACCUGAGAGGGUGAUCGGCCACACUGGGACUGAGACACGGCCCAGACUCCUACGGGAGGCAGCAGUAGGGAAUCUUCCACAAUGGGCGAAAGCCUGAUGGAGCAAUGCCGCGUGAAUGAAGAAGGUCUUCGGAUCGUAAAGUUCUGUUAUUAGAGAAGAACAAGUCAAGGAGUAACUGUCUUGACUUUGACGG